rnacentral:rRNA from 1 species
AGAGUUUGAUCCUGGCUCAGGACGAACGCUGGCGGCGUGCCUAAUACAUGCAAGUAGAACGCUGAAGGAGGAGCUUGCUCUUCUGGAUGAGUUGCGAACGGGUGAGUAACGCGUAGGUAACCUGCCUGGUAGCGGGGGAUAACUAUUGGAAACGAUAGCUAAUACCGCAUAACAGUAGAUGUCGCAUGACAUUUGCUUAAAAGGUGCAAUUGCAUCACUACCAGAUGGACCUGCGUUGUAUUAGCUAGUUGGUGAGGUAACGGCUCACCAAGGCAACGAUACAUAGCCGACCUGAGAGGGUGAUCGGCCACACUGGGACUGAGACACGGCCCAGACUCCUACGGGAGGCAGCAGUAGGGAAUCUUCGGCAAUGGACGGAAGUCUGACCGAGCAACGCCGCGUGAGUGAAGAAGGUUUUCGAAUCGUAAAGCUCUGUUGUAAGAGAAGAACGAGUGUGAGAGUGGAAAGUUCACACUGUGACGGUAUCUUACCAGAAAGGGACGGCUAACUACGUGCCAGCAGCCGCGGUAAUACGUAGGUCCCGAGCGUUGUCCGGAUUUAUUGGGCGUAAAGCGAGCGCAGGCGGUUAGAUAAGUCUGAAGUUAAAGGCUGUGGCUUAACCAUAGUACGCUUUGGAAACUGUUUAACUUGAGUGCAAGAGGGGAGAGUGGAAUUCCAUGUGUAGCGGUGAAAUGCGUAGAUAUAUGGAGGAACACCGGUGGCGAAAGCGGCUCUCUGGCUUGUAACUGACGCUGAGGCUCGAAAGCGUGGGGAGCAAACAGGAUUAGAUACCCUGGUAGUCCACGCCGUAAACGAUGAGUGCUAGGUGUUNGACCNUUUCCGGGGUUUAGUGCNGUNGNUAANGCAUNANCCAUUCGGCUUGGGGAGUAGGACGGCAGGUUUGAAAUUCAAAGAAAUGGAGGGGGGCCGGCCCAAGGGUUGGGGCUUGUGUUUUAUUUGGAAGAAAGGGGAGGACCUUUACCAGUUCUUAACUUCCUUUUGACCGUUUUGGAGUUAGAGUUUUCUUUGGGAACGGAGGUGACAGGUGGUGCAUGGUGUUGUUCAGUUGGUUUGGUGAGAUGUUGGGUUAAUUCCGGAAAGGGGGGCAACCCUUAUUUUUGGUUGCCUUCAUUCAGUGGGGCAUUUUGGGGGGAUUGCGGUUAUUAAACGGGAGGAGGGUGGGGAGGAGUUAAAUUCUUCUUGCCCUUUUUAACUUGGGUUCCACAGGUGUUCCAAUGGUUGUUAAAAGGAUUGGCAAGCGGGGGAGGCCAAGUUAUUUUUUUAAAGCCAUUUUCAUUUGGGAUGUUGGGUGGAAAUUGGCUUCCAGGAAUUGGGAUUGGUUGGUAUUGGGGAAUAAGCAGGCGGGGGGGAUUAGGUUCCGGGCCUUGGUAAACACGGCCGUUAACACCAGGGGAGUUGGUACCACCGGAGUUGGUUGGGGUACCCUUUGGGACCCACCGCCUUAGGUUGGGUUGGAGGAUGGGGGGGAGUUGUUACCAAGGUAACCA